GAUGAACGCUGGCGGCGUGCCUAAUACAUGCAAGUCGAGCGAACAGACGAGGAGCUUGCUCUUCUGACGUUAGCGGCGGACGGGUGAGUAACACGUGGAUAACCUACCUAUAAGACUGGGAUAACUUCGGGAAACCGGAGCUAAUACCGGAUAAUAUAUUGAACCGCAUGGUUCAAUAGUGAAAGACGGUUUUGCUGUCACUUAUAGAUGGAUCCGCGCUGCAUUAGCUAGUUGGUAAGGUAACGGCUUACCAAGGCGACGAUGCGUAGCCGACCUGAGAGGGUGAUCGGCCACACUGGAACUGAGACACGGUCCAGACUCCUACGGGAGGCAGCAGUAGGGAAUCUUCCGCAAAGGGCGAAAGCCUGACGGAGCAACGCCGCGUGAGUGAUGAAGGUCUUCGGAUCGUAAAACUCUGUUAUUAGGGAAGAACAAAUGUGUAAGUAACUAUGCACGUCUUGACGGUACCUAAUCAGAAAGCCACGGCUAACUACGUG
rnacentral:rRNA from 1 species